GAAGAGACACCUAUUUGAGAGACGGGCUUGUCGGAAUUGGAGGUGUUCGCCGCAUCAUCGUUCCUCUUCAAUGAGUCGGAGACGUCGGAUACCUUCAUCGCAAUGAGCAGUUGAGAGGAUAGAACAGUUUUAGAUCCAAAAAACACAUCGAUCAAGAGCUCUAUAUAGAAUCGCGGACGGAGAAAGCGAUAACGAUCUAUUAAUGAGAUUUAAAGCUCGGAGGAGUGGGGGAAAUUGAUUGCCCGCGUUAAAGAUCUGUGAAACGGAGAAGAUGAAGAGAAAGUGGGAUCGUUAGAACGAAGAAGAAAAGAAGUAGGGGAUCGGAAAAUCAAUCAGGAGGCUUCACCGAAGCAUGUGCUCUCCGGGUCUCAAAUUCCAAACAUUAACGGGCCGUGAGGAUAACGGGCCGUGAGGAUGAGAGGCCCAAAUGCAGAGCGCAGCGUGUCUGACGUGGCUCAAGGAUGGUUUCCUAUUGGCUGAUUAUUUUUGAGGAUGUGGAAGCAUGAGGGGAGCCCUUAUUCCCCUUUUAGUAUUGUAUUGAUGCAACAUGGAUAAGUUUUUAUUAACAACCAAACAGAGGCCAGAGCAUGAUGGGUGGUUCGGGAUUCACAAGGGGCCUACAUAGGAGCAGUUCAAGCUGUAGGAAGCAAGGUAACCAAUCCGUUAGAGUCUCAACUGCAAGCUAUUCUAAUGGCUACAUUGUUGGAGUUAAAAGCAUCAUACACUGAUAAUGGAAAGGAUUGCAAGAGAGCUAUGUAUAUUCUCAAUCAGAGAUCAUUAACUUUUCCAGCAUAUAACUGGAUACGAGAAAUAAGGCAGUGGGUUCGCAAGUUUCAGAAAGUCCCAUUCCAAUAGAUCAAAAGAGAAUCAAACAAAGUGGGGGAUAAGUUGGCUACACAAAACUAUUAUUGUUUUCACUAUUAUGUACCCACAGUAAUUUUACGUCUUCUCCAUGAAAACUAUGUACUUUCACAUUCUAAUUAAUAUAAGUAUGAAGUUAUAAAAAAAGAAAAAACUAAAAGAAUACAUCACAUUGAAAAUAUAUUAAGUUUCUUUCUUUCUGAACUAAAACUAAAAAUCUUAAAAUGACAUUUUUUGUGUGGGAGAAUUUAUUAUAAUGUUAUCUAUUAAUUGUAGAUUCCUAUUUUGAAUCUCACCUUUCUUAUACCAUAAUAAAUAAUAUUAAUACAUGAAAUUAUUUAAAUAUACAUUUUGGGACCGAUUUAACAUUUUCCAGAACAAUAGUAUUAUAUGAUUUCUCCUAUAACAUAAAACACAUUAGUUUAAGGAAAAAAGUAUGUAGCUAGCCGCUAGCCAAAUCAUCUCCAGGGCGUACUAUUGAUGUAGCAUGCCAAACAAUUUCCCGACAAAAUCAGAUUUUCCUAGGGUAGUAAUAUCCUUCUCGUGAUUAACAUGGUAAAAAGAGCAUAUCUUAUACACCUCAUAGUAUAAGAAUCUGAAAUUAUUUGGGAUAAUCAUUUAAUUAGAAAAUAGGUAAUAUGCUUAAUCAUUGAGGUGGACGGAAAUAGCUAGCUGCAUUGAAGCGUUUUUCUUUGACCAAUAAUAAAAGAUUUUGUCAAAUUUGGUGUGUCAAAAUUUGAACCAAUGUCAUUUCAAUUAUAAAUGUUUAUUGUUGAUUGGUCUAACGAUCUCACGUAUAAAUGUUAUACUGUUAUAUACUGAAACAUACACCGAAGUUUUCUUUUGCUGAUAGAAUUGAACUGUUUUGAAUUAUUUUUGUAAUAGCUGUAAGCCUGUAAGUUAUUUUAAAAUAUCCAUUUAUAAUAAUAACACAUAAUUUGGAGUAUAUUUCUUUUUUUUUCUGCAUGUUUCUAAGCAACAUAAGACCAUAAACACAUACCGAGAUGUUCCACAUAACAAUGUUUUACAACUUAAAAUUAUUAGUAAGUACUAAUUUUUUUUCAUUUCGAUCCAAUUUAUUUCAUUUACCAAUCUGAGUUGCUUCCAAAAUAAAGAUAUACAAAAAUUGUUUAUUUUGUCUGUUUAUAUCCGAUAAUACCUCUAGUACAUGAAUGGGACUUUUCAAUCUCACUCAUAAUUGAUCCAAAUAUGUUUUUCGACACAGCUCUCUAUACACUCCUUCAUAGGCUAAUUCUGCAAAAUUACUAUGUAUAUUAAUCACAAUAAAAAAACUUACUUUAUACUUGGAGGAAUCCACUAAAGCUGAAUUUCAGGAAGCCCUAUAAAACAACAAGAGAGUAGCUUCUUUGACUUGCUUUUGAAAGUGCGUUGUCCUUUUGAAUUUGAUAAUGCGAAAGGAAAAAAAAACAUUUUUUUUUUUUUUUUUUGCUAAAUCGUAAAUGUCAUUGAAAACAAUGAAGGUUUGAUUACAUGUUAAUGCAACCUAAUUUACUUUUCAGCCAUUCUGAAAGCUUAGAGGUGCAAAAAAGUUUAAAAAAACUCCUAAACCCCAAAGAGAUUAUGAUCAGUCCUAACCAAACAAUGGAAGCUUGAACAUAAUACCAAAACAGAACUAAAGACUAACAGUUUAAUCUCCCCAUCCCAAGCACUUCUCAAAUCAAAGGAGCAACCUGAGACUGCGAGAGUAAAGCCAUGAGAAGUGUUUAGUCAGGUCUCACCGAGGUGGCUCGCAGCAGGCAUCGACGGUGACAGCUGGCUCCCAUCCCGGAGCUCCGCUGGAGGAGGACACUGGCCAACAAAACUCAAGCUUUCUCGGUGUUAGCUAAGGUGUAAACCUGACUUCGACGCCAUUUACAAUAAAGCACACGUUGCGGUCAAGCGCAGGCGGUCUGUUUGGCUCCCUAUCCGGCUGCGCGACACAAUGGGUACAACAUCAACUUCAGGGCACACUGAAUCUAGAAAUCGGAGCUUAGGAGGAUGGAAUUGACGAAUAGAAGAAGCGAUUAAACUCCUUGAAAACAGACGGCUCAUGGUAGAAAAAGGCUACUCCUUGAAGCAGGUGACAUCGUGACUAGGGUUGUCCUCAAGACCUCAGUGAACAACAUCGGUAGCAAGAAGAAGUUACCAAACUUGAACCAGAGACCACCAUGGUUGUUGUCUUUCGAACUAAAGAAAGAGGUCCUCGAUGGCUUACCUCAUAGCCAUCUUUCACUCAAAGAGAGGAGAAGCUCUACGGAGACCCUUGGAGAGACUUGAUAGAGAAGCCGACUGGAGCGAGAUGUAGAGGCUGAAACGACGACGGCAGCGACGCGUCUGGUGUUCCGGCUGUAUCGGAUCUCAAAGUUGACCCAACUUCGAGCACAAACGGCGACUAACAGGAGACCCAAGGGCCAGCCCUAAGAUAACCCCGACUCUUCUUGCCUCGCCGGAGCUCCAGAGGAACCAAAGACGACUUUGAAUCCGACUAUCCGGUGGAGGAAACCAACAGAUCCAGAGGCGCCAAGCAAAGCGGCAAACCGAGCGGAGAACAACGAAGGGAAGAGGUGGAGAUGGACACAGCGGGAGAUUGUAUGGCCCUCUCGCAGCACCAGAUGGCGCCGGAGAGGCUAGGGGAGAGCGACGAUUUGGAUCGAGGAGAUUAGGUUUCGAGAGAGAUAAUUGGGGGCGCGUUGGGUGGACGCGCCGAUUUAAAAAAAAAAAAAAAAAAAAAAAAAAAA